CCUUCGAUAGCUCAGUUGGUAGAGCGGAGGACUGUAGAUCCUUAGGUCGCUGGUUCAACUCCGGCUCGAAGGA